rnacentral:lncRNA from 1 species
GUUGAAUACACAUACACAAGUUAUCACUUUCCUGCAAAAGUGGACAUUCAUAGAUUAAUUAAUUAUAACUUCUGAAGUUUACAAAGUGAAGUACAGUUUACAUUUUACUAUAUCCUUAUUUUAAUCUCAGAUGGAAGCUUAACAAACUUGUUUCCUGUGAACAUGAGGUAGGAUUGUUAAUAUUUUCCCUUUUGUCAUAGAUAUAAUAUCACUAAUUUCUCCUCCUUUUUUUUUUGAAUUUGAAAACGAGGCAAAUUAACCACAUAUCACGUGUAAUCACAUCAGGAAGCUUAUUGGUAAAUAUAUCAAGCAUUUUUCAAAGCCACAAGGUGAUUUAGUUAUCUAGAUAUUGGCUUUUUAAGAACAAGGUAAUGUUAACUAAUAAGGUAAAAUUCAGUACAUAUUACAGUUUCACCUGUCUGUGUGCUUUUCUAACAAGAACUCUGAGAUGUUGUUUUCUGAUGCUUAUUUAAAGAAAUUGGAAUCAACCCACUAUCUUAUAAGAAUACUAAUAAGUAUAUUCUUAAAACAGUACAAGAAUAUGUAGUAAAAUUUUAAAUCAAUUUCAGCCCCAUGAUUUCAGAUCCUAACCUGUUAUAGUCUUGUUAGUGCAGUACAUUUACACAGUUUUAGUCACCAUUUAUAUUUUGUUCUUUGGGCAAACUUAUAACAUGACCUGAGACAUCUGUUAUUUUUCUCAAACCAUUAAACAUUUUUUUAAAAGACUUGAGUGAUUGUACAGUAACUCCAUUAUGGGAUUAUAUUUUAGUUAAUUUUUCUUAUUUUAGGUAAAUAUACAAAUUCCUUUUUUUAUACCUAAGCAAGUAAAUAAGCUUUUAUAAUUACAUUUUAGUAGAUACACAUUUUUCGAAAUGAAACGUAGAUUUUUGUUUCCCUAAUAACUACUUUAUCAGCUUUUUCUUAUAAGGUUCUUUGGUGAUUUAAAUGUGUAUCCAUCCAGUGUGUAAUGGACUGUUUCUACACAGUUGACUGAUAGUCAUAAAAUGAAUUGCUGAGAGUGGUUUAUAUAACUGUAUUGUCAACAGUAAUGAAUCAUGUUAAAGCCUUGAUCAUUGUCAGACAGCAUCAACCUUGUUAAAAUGAGAAUUGAGGGAUGAUGCUCUAAGGUCUGUCUAUUCAUAUCUAACUAAGGCGAAUGGAUACCACCCUCACUUUGCUCUUUUCUGUUUCUUCUGUAUUUAUUCUGGAAUUCUAGCAUUCUCUUCUUUGGUUUGCCACCUUUUGUGCUGCCAGCUGUGUGUGUUUCCAGUAGUUCAGGUGACUGGAAGAUUUAAAAUGAUAUGUCCAACAUAUUGGGGAAAGAGGCAGGGUGGGGGUGUUGACAGACACCAAGCUUUGGAGGAGAAAGUUUUUAAGUAGUUGGUGACCCACAUUCAGGCCCAAAGACAGUUUAAAGCAUUCUUUAUUAGUUUUUGUUGCUGAUGUAAAUACACAUAAAUAAUUACUUAUGAUUAGGAAGCAGAAACUGGGGACAGCGUGUUAGUUCAGAUUUAUUCUGCAAGAAACAACUAUGACAUAAUAAAAGGGAUUGACAAGUCUAGUUAUUCUAGUCAGUAAUUUGUAUUUAGAUAAAUUUAAAUUCACUUUAGAUUUUCUAAUUCUAUAGGUUAUCUUUUUGAAUCUGGUAAAGCUAAAGCCAUUAUGCAAAUCUACAUAACAGGUCUCUAAGAGCUGUGUUUUUGCCACAGAUCCCUAAGAUUUAUUUCAAGGUUGCUUCCAAAAUGAUACCUUCCUUCCUCUUGUUCUGCUUUCAUUUACGUUUUAGUUUGUCAGUCUUUUCUAAGAUGCCACCUACAUAAACAUCAAAAAUAAUAAAAAGAAAUCAAGCAAGUAUGUGCAUAUUUCCCAGUACCAGCAACAAGCCAGUUGCCCUCCUUGAUAAUGUUUACUCUAAAGCCAAGAAUCAAUCCAUCUUUCCUUCCUUCCCUCCCUCUCCCUCCUUCCUUCCAUCUCUUUCCCUCCCUCCCUCUUUUUCAGGGAAGUAGUAGGAGAAUAGAAGGGGGUUCUACUGCAUUUAUUCUGCAUAAUCCCUUAACUGAUCUUUAUUGUGAGUUUAUUCUACAAAUUUUAAGUGCUAAUUGAAAGAUUUUUUUCAAGCAGUAUGGUUUGUACAAAUAUGAGUACAUUUUCACAUACUUUUAGUUCAUCAUUUUUGUGUCCUGAUAGAUUUUUCCCUCUUCCUAGCAGAAGAGAAUACAUCUUUGCUAUUGUGUAUCCAUUACAAAUGGAUGUUGAAUAAUAAAUUGAACAUAUGCCCUUGCUGAUUUAGCAAUGAAAAUAUUAGUAUAAUGUUUGGUAAGUUUACCCAAUCAUUAUAAUACUAAACAUGCUUAACACUAGUUGACGCUUUUAAAAUAAUUACUCUGUCUUUCAAAUUACUUUUAGUACCCAAUGUCUCUUAGCUUGCAUUUUAACACUAUUAUAUUCAUUUUAGCACCUUUUCACUAUUUCUGGAUAAUGAGCUUUGGUAAGGUAAUACCUAUACUUUUCAUUUCUGUAUUUCAGUACCUACCCCAGUGUCUAAUAUGUUGUGUAUUUGCUAAAUGUUUAUUAAGUCAUGGGAAUAAGCCUUUUUAAGGCUAUCCAGACACUAUGUGAAGCUUAUCAGACAUGCCUUUUUAAUUCCCCAUCAUCCUGAUUGAGUGCUCUGUAUGUGGUCAGUGUUGCUUAUAUUCCUGCUAAACUGAAAUAUGGAAAAUUAGCAAUAGUUUAUUCAUAUAACCUACUUAAUGUCUGCUUAUUUAAAAUGGAAAAUGAAUCUUAUAAUUUAAGUCUGUAAAUACACCAGAAUGCUCCUGUUCUACAAAGUUGACAUAAUUUCCCAUUAUUGUUAGUAUCCUCUUAAUUGAUCCAUGUCUCCUAUUCCCAUUUGUUGGUAAAAAAGAAAAUAUAUGUAUGUUCACACACUGCGUAAUGACAUUUUGAUCAGUGGACCACAUAGAUCACUAUGUUCCCAUCAGAUUACAUUGCCUAGUGUGGCCGUCUUUGUGCAAGUACACUCUGAUGUUUUCAUCACAAUGAAAUUGAUGAGCAACACUUUUCUUAGAAUGUAUCCCGAUUGUUAAGCAGCACAUGACUCUGUCUGCUUAUGGUACGCUUUUAGGGAAACAGGAAAAAUGAAAAUUGAAAUUCUAAGAAAUUCUUUAGGGGAAGAGAAAACUAGCAUAUUAUAUGAUAGAUGGAGAGGGCUGUCCUUAAGUGUUGAAAGUCAUUUAUUAAACUAUCAUCCGAGUCCCCCACUCCACUACUAGCUUCUGAAAUGAAAGAGAAAUGGAAUAAGACAAAAAAAUUAAAGGGUCACUUUUGUGUUACCUAAUGUCUUCAUUGUGCCAGUAGAUAUAAUUGAAAGGUGACUGGGUAAAAGCUCUCUGGUACCAAAAGUAUAAUUCUAACUAGUCUCUUUUCUCACUCAUGUUAAAACCAGCUAAGCAAACUCAAGUCCAUUGGAAUAUGAAGGUCAUUUUACAUAUGUAUGUGAGGCACUUUUUCUUCUCUUAGUUUUUAAAAAUGACAAAUGACACAUUUUUUAAAAGUAUUUUUUAUGUGUAUAGUCUCCUUAAUUUAUUAUGAGUCCUAGGAAAAAAGGAUCAGUUCAUUUCAUUCAACAAGUUACUAGUUGUAUACUCUGGCAAAUAUUAUUUUACAGGAUUAGCAAUGAAUAGAGCUCACAAAAAUCCCUGCUCUUGUAGAGUUUACUUUCAAGUACAGACAGACUACCCAAAAAAUGUUGUUAAAUUUUAUGUAUGUGUGUGUUAGAUGGUAUGGAGAAAACUAAUGCAGGGAAGGGAAAUAGAAACAUGGAAUAUGUGCUGGGUGAGAGAAAGGGGAGGUUGCUAUUCACUUAUAAAAAGGGUAGUCAAGAACGAAUUAAGGGUAAAGGAUAUACCAAAUAGGGGAAAAGUAUUCCAGGCAGAGGGAAUAGCAAGUGAAAAGGCUGCAUUCCAUGGGAAGAACAAGCUUAACACAUUCCAAAAAGAAAAAGGUAAGCAACAAGGACAGGAGUAGAAGGCUAGGGCAGGAUGGCUGUAGAUGCACAGAUCAUGUAGGGUCUUACAUUGUAAGGCAUAUGGCUGGUAUUCAAAAUAAGAUGGGAAACCACCAGAAGGUGUUUUUAGCCAAAAAGUGACAGGAUAUGACUUAGGUGUACUUGAAAUUAGAUUACUGUUAGGGAAGAGACUUGGGUUGGUGUUAAGGUGGGGAAUUAGGAAUAAGGCAAUCACGGGACUAAUGCAGUAAUCCUGGGAAGAGAGAAUGAUGACUUCAACCUGGGUGGCAGUGAUAUAGGUAAUACGAAAUGAUAAAGUUACAGUUGAAGAUAGAGCUAACAAGAUUUUGUGAUACUUUGACUUUGGGGUGGGGGUGGGGGUGGGCAUGAAAAAGGAAUGAAGCAUGUAGGACUUGAGCAAAUUGAAGGGUAUAGUUUUCAUAAGCUGAGAAUAGGAUUGGGAGAAGUUAGGUUUGGUUUUUUUUUUUUAUGCCUAUUAGACCUGGAAAUGGAGGUGUCAGGACAAUGAACAUACAAAUCUGUGAUUCAGGAAUAAGUUCUGUAAAUUUGGGACUCAAGUAAAUAGAUGUAUAGCUUUGAGAGUAUAUAGGCUCAUCAGGGGAAUGAAUGCCGUUAGAAAAGAAAGAGGUCUUAGCAUUGCCAUACUGAGAGGAGGAAAUCAGCAAAGAACCCCAGGAAAGAACAGUGAAAAAGUAAAAGAAAAGCCAGGAGUGUGAGGACCUGGGAUGGAAGUGAAAAGUUUCAGGGAAGUAGGAAUGAUCUGCAUCUAGUGCUACUGGUAAAUAAGAUGAGGGCCUGAAUAACCAUGUUACUUAGCAGUUUAGGAGUGAUAGUUGGUGACUUGUAUGGGCACACUUUUUUGGGGAGUGAUGAGAUCCAAGCUUGAUUGGAGAUGACACUGAAGGAAAGAAAUUUGAGGCAGUAUUUUUCUGUGAUUAUUGCACAUGUAAGCCCAAGUAGACUCUAAACUUUUUUCCCUCGACUUACAGAAUAUGGCUCUUCUUUCUUAAGUUUAAUUGAUCAUUACAGUAUUCUUCAGAAUAUUUCACACAGUGACAGGUGGUAGUUGCUUUAAUUUUGCCUAAUUUGUAAAGGGCAUCUGGGUCUUGAUUUUGUUUUCUUCCGGUCCUGCUAUUUUAUCCAGGUGCUUGGAUAUCCCUUAUCUAUAGGAACUGUUUAAAACCCAUUCUUCACACUACUAUUACAUUCAUCUUCCCAUAGUAAGCUCUGUCAGGACAGUCUGCUCACAGAAGUCAGUGGUUGCCCAUUCUUUACCCAAUUCAAGUCCUGAUUUCUUAAAAACCUGGCUUUCUUUCACUACAUCACUGUAGUGUGCUACAUGACGAAGCAACAUCUAUGAAAAUCGCAAUUUCAGAUACACUUGUUUUGUAGUGACAUACUAGAGUCACUCUGCCAACGGCAGCAGUUGCAUCAAUCAUUUAAAAAUAUUUCCUCAGAAAAAUAGCAAUAGUGACUCACAAACACUCCUUAAACCACUGACUUCUUUAAGGACUACAAGUCUCUGAUGCACCAGCAUUUUUGUAAUUUAUUUUACUACCAAUAGUUCAAAAUAUUGGUUCAUGUAACCUUAUUGCUGGCCAUGUAGUCAAGCAUCAGAAAAUGGAUUGCUUAAGAUACUUUGCUAGGCACACCAGUAUUUUAAAUGUGAACCAAGGCUCUUGUGCUUCAAGACAGAUGGUGCAUUGCUUCUAUGCCUAAGAGCAUUUGGCAGUGCUGAAAUUGAGCCUUCUGUUCAGUCCAAAAUAAUUCAGUGAUGAGUGGGCAACUUUAUACUUCAAUUUUUUUUUUUCCCUGGAUUUGAGUAUUUGGAGAUGUUUUUUAGCUUAACUUUAACUAUACCAAAGCACCUUCAUAAAAUGGUACUACAGGCAUAGACAUGUAUUUUUCAGUUUAAUGUAUGUUUCAUUUUAUGAAGGUGCUUUGGUAUAGUUAAAGUUAAGCUAAAUUAUUUUCAUUAUAGUGAUGUUUCCAUUAAGACUGAUAAGUAUUCAGCCAUGUUUAAACAUGGGCAUAAAACAAUCUGAAUUUAAAGUUGAUUGUUAGCUAAGCUCAAAAGGGAGUUCUUUUUUGUGUGUGUGUGUGUGUUCAAUGAUUGAUUUUUAUUUUUUUUUUAUUGUUGGUUGUUCAAAACAUUACAUAGUUCUUGAUAUAUCAUCUUUCACACUUUGCUUCAAGUGGGUUAUGAACUCCCAUUUUUAGCCCAUAUACAGAUUGCAGAAUCACAUCAAUUACACAUCCAUUGAUUUACAUAUUGCCAUACUAGUGACUGUCAUGUUCUGCUGCCUUUCCUAUCCUCUACUAUCCCCCCUCCCCUCCCCUCCCCACCCCUCUUCUCUCUCUACCCCCUCUACUGACCUUCAUUUCUCCCCCUUGUAUUUCUUUCAAACUGAAGUGAAUUUAAAGGAACGGAGGAUUAUAGAUCACACAAUGGUCAUUUCAUUCCCUUGGUUAAUACCUCUUCUCAGGCACUUUGCUUGAAUAGCAUUUCUUUAUUUAAAGCUGACAAAGAUUACAAGACUAGUAUCUCAAAUGGUAUCUAGAGUACAGCAUCUCUAAAGUCCUUUAACAUCUCUUAAAUAUUUUAUUAACUAAAAUUAGAAAUUGUUUUGUAUUCAUUUUUACUGAGAUCUUGUUAGAACCCUCAGUGAUUAACUAGAAAUGUAUUUUUUUCUCUUCAUUUAUUUUCCAAGUAGGCUUUUAUAAUUCUGGUUAUCAUUUUGGGAACACUGAGUAUUAAAUAUAGGAUGCCAAAAGCCACAAGAAGACAAGACACUCCAGUGAGAACUCCUGAAGAGAAACAGCCAAAGUUCUUCCUAUUCUGUACUCUUGAGUUGUGGUUGUUAAAGUGAUGGAGGAGGAGGGUUGAUUUGUGGGAGAAGAUUAUACUGUAUGGAAAAAGAUUUACUCCUUUGAACCUGCAUUAAAAAUAUUGUCUUGCUUGUUCUCGUAAUGUUGAAAGGAUAAAGAGAUCAAUAAAGUUUACCCAGAUUCUGUAAAUUGAUCUUGUUUCUAUUUUCUUAACAUUCCAGGGAAGCCAAGAGCAUAGGAAGCAGUGGAUUCUGGUUGUAGAAAUUUUGGUAUUGAUUCUGUGGUG